GCCCAUGUAAUCGAUUAUCACAAAAUUUAAUCGACUAAAAUGAUUUAUUUCAAAAAGCUUUAGCUACUGGAACUCAUUUAAUCGAUUAUCCUAAGGGUUAAUCGAUUAAUGACAGAACGUUGACAGUUUUAAGCACAAUUUUGAGCUUACUAAGAAAUAAUUUUGUAACCUUGUUAAUAUAAUUACCUUACUUACCCUUUGGUGAUAGGUCAAUAUUAUCAGUUGUUUGAUGAAAGGUUUGAUGAUAUAAUCAAAGUUGUAUAUUUGACAUUCAAAGUGCGCUGCUCCCCCUUUCAUUGUUCUUCCCUUUAUCUUCUCCCCCUUUAUUACUUAGAGAAGUCCUCUUAGUAGGUAGCAUAAUACGGAAGUUCAUUUAACAAUCUUUCUCAAUAUAUUUUCUUCUUAAUAACCUUGAUCUACUCACCAACCUUGUGCAUAUAACAUCUUUUGUUGAUUUAUCCCUUGAUGCUCAAAUAUCAUUUGGCACACCUGCAAACACAAUUUACUUGUCUCUUUCGAGUACCCAAGUUAUUUUGGGUCCCUUAUUGUUAGUAACUAAGGGAUCUUGCCCCUUCUUUAUCCACACAUAUUU
rnacentral:lncRNA from 1 species